rnacentral:rRNA from 1 species
AUGGUAGGCGCUGGUCGGGAGCGCGCCGAGGCCUCUUCUUCGUCGGUGCGUAGUGUGAGGUCUUCCAUUCCACAUGCACCUCUCCGCCGAGCGUUGCUGGACAGUAUGGCGACACCGCCGGGCCCUUCUUCGUCAACCGCGGUGCCCAGCAGGGGACGAGGUAAGAAGAAGGGCCGAGGUGGAGCACGUGGUCGCGGGAGAGGAGGUAGGGUGACUCUUACGGCGCCUUCCUCGCCGCCCCCCCCCCCAGCUGUUUCACCUGAGCACGUGACUGCUAGGGUGGAAUUGUUUGAGGAGGAGGCUACACGGACUCCGGUCCAUGAGCCUCCGGUCCACGGGUCUUCGGCCCACGAGCCUCGGGUCGACGGACCUUCGGCCCACGAGAGUUGGGCCCACGAGACCCCGGAGGAGCACACGUCUGGAUGGGGUACUUGGUCGGGUCAGCCUGAGGAUGGCGGGGAGCCGAGUGGCCAUGCUGAUGAUGGUGGGGAGCCGAGUGGCCAUGCUGAUGAUGGCGGGGAGCCGACUGAUUUUGAGGAGGAGGGGGAGGAGGGGGGCAACGUCUACCAGCGUGGUGCUACACGGCUCCCGUCCGUGCCGGCGACCCACGAGCAGAGGUGGUUGAUUUUCCCUGAUGGGGAGAGGGGUUGGGACCACCAUGAAAGUGUCCGCCGGCCCAACUCCGUCCUUGGAGUUCUGAUUCGGCAAAACUUUCCGGGGUUUGUCACGUUGCCUGGUGAGGGUCGGCUUCCAGAGGUUGGAUUGAGUUGGGAGCACUACUUGGCUGCCCCGGCCCCGCCGGGUGAGAUUAUCAACGGUGUCUUGUGCAAGACGAGGGCAGACAUGGUGAUCAGAAAGUUCUGGACAUUCUACAGGUGUGAGGAGGGACACGAGGAGGAGGCGGCAGAUGUUAUCCACAAGGAGUGCAAGCGCCUACUUCAGAACUUACGACAUGAGGCUCGGGUGCAGUCUGUUCGAGACUACUACGCCAACCGUGGUAUCAAGAAGUCCAAGCAGGAGUGCCGCGAUAAGUUCUUGAGUAAGGAGCAGUACAUGAAGGCCCCUCAGAGAUGGUGUGCGGAUCGGAUGGAUUGUUGGGAGGUGUUGGUCGAUGGGUGGUGCUCAAAAGAAUGGCGGGCCACCCACAACGAGGCCAAGGACAAAUGUGCCCAAAUGGAAGGUGUGCCACACCACCAAGGCAGCUCCAACUUAUUUCAGUACGGGCGGAACUGGGCAUGCUACAGUAAGGCGGAUAAGGUGCCAGAGGUGUACGACCUAUAUGCCAUGGCCCACACUGGCUCUUACAAGAAAGUCAAGGCAUUCUCUGCGUCUGACCUCGAUGAUCCAAAGAACUUCACCAACAUCUCCGCCCACGACAAGCUCGUGCAAUAUAGAGAUCAUGGGAAGGCGAGGAAAGGGGAGGACUUUAACCCGAGCCAGGGUCCCAUUGAUACAGAGUUGCUGAUGAUAUCUGGUGGCGGGAGGUCCCAUGGCUCCAUAGCCAUGGGAGAUGGACUUAUCCGUUGUCCUAGCACUCUCCCGGAGAUCAAGGCGCGCCAGUCGAGCUCCGCUCCUGAGAUAAGGCCUCGUGAACGGCCAGUCCAGCUCGCCAUCAAGGCUGCUAUACAGAGUGAGAGAGAUAGAACGGAGAAACUUCUGGCGGAGGCGGCAGAGAGGCAGCGGGAGUUGGAGGAGAGGACGACAAAGAUGUUGGAGGAGGAGAGGGCACGGAAUGACAUGCAGGCAAGGGCCAUGUAUGAGCUCCUUGUGUCUGUGUGCGAGAGGUCCGGUCAGACCGCUCCGCCGAUGCCAGUGAUUGCUCCUGGUAGCACGCUUAACUCCAGAAACGCAUCGCACAAUCCUUCUCCAGCUACCGGCACGAGCCAGCCCCCUCCUCCACCUCCCUGA